AUACGUAGGUGACAAGCGUUAUCCGGAUUUACUGGGUGUAAAGGGCGUGUAGGCGGUUUAGCAAGUCAGAAGUGAAAUUCCCGGGCUUAACUUGGGCGCUGCUUCUGAAACUGCUUUACUUGAGUGCUGGAGAGGAUAGUGGAAUUCCUAGUGUAGCGGUAAAAUGCGCAGAUAUUAGGAGGAACACCGGUGGCGAAGGCGGCUAUCUGGACAGUAACUGACGCUGAGGCGCGAAAGCACGGGGAGCAAACAGGAUUAGAUACCCUGGUAGUCCGUGCCGUAAACGAUGAAUACUAGGUGUAGGGGGUAUCGACUCCCUCUGUGCCGCAGUUAACACAAUAAGUAUUCCACCUGGGGAGUACGAUCGCAAGAUUGAAACUCAAAGGAAUUGACGGGG
rnacentral:rRNA from 1 species